CUACACAUGCAGUCGAGCGGUAGAGAGAAGCUUGCUUCUCUUGAGAGCGGCGGACGGGUGAGUAAUGCCUAGGAAUCUGCCUGGUAGUGGGGGAUAACGUUCGGAAACGGACGCUAAUACCGCAUACGUCCUACGGGAGAAAGCAGGGGACCUUCGGGCCUUGCGCUAUCAGAUGAGCCUAGGUCGGAUUAGCUAGUUGGUGAGGUAAUGGCUCACCAAGGCGACGAUCCGUAACUGGUCUGAGAGGAUGAUCAGUCACACUGGAACUGAGACACGGUCCAGACUCCUACGGGAGGCAGCAGUGGGGAAUAUUGGACAAUGGGCGAAAGCCUGAUCCAGCCAUGCCGCGUGUGUGAAGAAGGUCUUCGGAUUGUAAAGCACUUUAAGUUGGGAGGAAGGGUUGUAGAUUAAUACUCUGCAAUUUUGACGUUACCGACAGAAUAAGCACCGGCUAACUCUGUGCCAGCAGCCGCGGUAAUACAGAGGGUGCAAGCGUUAAUCGGAAUUACUGGGCGUAAAGCGCGCGUAGGUGGUUUGUUAAGUUGGAUGUGAAAUCCCCGGGCUCAACCUGGGAACUGCAUUCAAAACUGACUGACUAGAGUAUGGUAGAGGGUGGUGGAAUUUCCUGUGUAGCGUG
rnacentral:rRNA from 1 species